rnacentral:rRNA from 1 species
GUAGGGGGCUAGCGUUGUCCGGAAUCAUUGGGCGUAAAGCGCGCGUAGGCGGCCCGGUAAGUCCGCUGUAAAAGUCAAAGGCUUAACCUUUGAAUGUCAGUGGAUACUGCCGGGCUAGAGUCCGGAAGAGGCGAGUGGAAUUCCUGGUGUAGCGGUGGAAUGCGCAGAUAUCAGGAGGAACACCAACGGCGAAGGCAGCUCGCUGGGACGGUACUGACGCUGAGGCGCGAAAGCGUGGGGAGCGAACAGGAUUAGAUACCCUGGUAGUCCACGCCGUAAACGAUGGGCACUAGGUGUGGGAGGUGUCGACUCCUCCCGUGCCGGCGCUAACGCAUUAAGUGCCCCGCCUGGGGAGUACGGCCGCAAGGCUAAA